GUCAUUUUUGGCCACCUUAAUGCCAACGUCAUAGCGUUCCUCAUCAAUCACGUCAAUCUUGUGAUGCAAAUCCUUGCAAAGUUGCUACACACAAAACAGCGUUCACGAGAUAGUUGAUAAAAGAGCUAAUCAUUAUUAAACAAUAAAAAUAAAUUAAAUUAAUUUAGAAAUUAACUUAAAACGCUUACUAAACAGAUUAAAUAUUAAAAUAUGAACCAUGAAAAUGCACGUGUUACUAUAUUAUGUAAAAUACGAUAACAAAUUAAAAGUGCAGCUUGUGCCGCUGAAUCCUACUGUUUGUGAGAUAGGAGGAAAUUAAUUGUGUUUCUCUAAAACGUAAUUUUACGCAAUAGCUACUUUUGCGAGAGAACUCAAAAACAUGAAAAUAUUUGCGUUUCCCCGAAAAACAUUGCGUUCGCGCGCAAAGGUUUUGCGUUCCCCGAGAAACGGUUGCAUUCUCUGCGAGCGAACGCAGACGGGUCAACGCAAAUAAUGUGCGCGCGAAUGCAAACGCGUAUAAUUAUAUCGCUCGCGACAUUUGUCAUUAAAAUAACGCCAUAUAAUACAUUUCCUACGAAAGUCACGAUCGAGGACAUGGCCUCCACAUUCUUACGCCAGUCAGUCACCUCUUCUUUCUGUGAGAGGAACAGGUGUAACAAUAGGUUAGCUUUGAAAUCCACAGACUCUUUGACCUUGGAGCCCAAAAGAGCACCCAACAUGGCAUCGGCGGAGAUCUUCACCCUCUUAAGUGCAGUAGGUUUCCAAUGGAUUUCCAAAUAGUUUGAAGUACAAAGACCAUCGCUGCAUUGAAUUUGAGUAAAUAUUCACAAAGCAUGUGGUAACUUAAAACCAGUUAUACACUUGCAAGGUAC